UCACACUCACAAUAGAUACACGCAUACUUAUACAAUAACAUACAACAUGGAAAAAUUAGGUACUUAAACAUUCCUAACAUGUCAUGAUUAUGGCAAUUUCACAUGCAAUAGAUAUCAUAGAUUUUACUCACAUCUUUACCACAUUCAUACUAUAAUCAUUAUAAACUCAUCACAUAAUACCAUAGCACAUGCAUGCAUAAUUAAAAUAGAUUUACAACCCCAUAAUCAAAAUAGGCCAACACAUAUGGUUAAA
rnacentral:lncRNA from 1 species